rnacentral:lncRNA from 1 species
AUGCUGCUUCACUGUGUAUCCAAGUUAAAGCCUCGUUUGUUUUGGCAGUGUUCCUCUGUUGCCAUGAGCAGAGCGGAUGCAUGUCAUUUCCCCAGUGUCACUGUGUGCUGUCAUGUGUUGUCAGGUGAACAUGAAGAAGGAAUAUCAGAAGAAGCAGAUGAAUACAGGAGCAUCUCUGGCUCGCUCCAGUCUCACACUCAACGCCCACCAGAGCAAGUGUGUCCAGGGAGUGCUGAAAGAAGAGGGAGAGCACAUCGCUGGCAUGAUGAAGCAGAUCAAGGACAUUAAGAACCAUUUCAGUUUCUGACCAUAAGUUAUUAACAGUCUUCAAAGGCUACAGAAGAAACUACAGAAGAGCCAAAUAGCAUCUCCAUAGAGCUCCUUUAAAGGACAGUACUUGACCCAAACCUCUCACAUUCAGAGUUUCUUGAAGAAAGAAACAGCUGGGAUUUUUGUAUAAACUAGUUUGUCUAUAAUUAGUAUGUACAUGUACACAUUUCCUUGACAAUAAAGAGUUUUGUACAUUGGAGUGACUCUUUCCUCUGUAUGUUGCUGUGAGUUUAUCAGCUGGGAGGCAGUAGUGUUGGGCAUUGGCGUUAUUUCCUGAACUGAGACUAUGGCUUAUCUGAAGAGGUCAUGCUGGAUAUGAAGACUUCUCCCUCUUUUCCUUCCUUCUUUUAAUCACAAGGUGGAAUGUGACGAUGGAAAAGAUCAUGUAAAGAACAAGGAGCUUGUACAUUUACUGUAGUGGAGGAAAGGAAUGUCCCAGAUUCAGUACACACUGACCACAUUGACUUACUACCAAAGUUCAGUUAGUCUGUUCACUCAGUCAGUGUUUCAAUUUUGACUGUCCAAAAUUUCCUCAAUUUUGGACUGUCAAUUUUCACUUUAUUUCUCAUUAUGAUCUCACAAUUUUAACUUCU